CUGGCUCAGGACGAACGCUGGCGGCGUGCCUAAUACAUGCAAGUCGAACGCUUCUUUUUCCACCGGAGCUUGCUCCACCGGAAAAAGAGGAGUGGCGAACGGGUGAGUAACACGUGGGUAACCUGCCCAUCAGAAGGGGAUAACACUUGGAAACAGGUGCUAAUACCGUAUAACAAUCGAAACCGCAUGGUUUUGAUUUGAAAGGCGCUUUCGGGUGUCGCUGAUGGAUGGACCCGCGGUGCAUUAGCUAGUUGGUGAGGUAACGGCUCACCAAGGCGACGAUGCAUAGCCGACCUGAGAGGGUGAUCGGCCACAUUGGGACUGAGACACGGCCCAAACUCCUACGGGAGGCAGCAGUAGGGAAUCUUCGGCAAUGGACGAAAGUCUGACCGAGCAACGCCGCGUGAGUGAAGAAGGUUUUCGGAUCGUAAAACUCUGUUGUUAGAGAAGAACAAGGAUGAGAGUAACUGUUCAUCCCUUGACGGUAUCUAACCAGAAAGCCACGGCUAACUACGUGCCAGCAGCCGCGGUAAUACGUAGGUGGCAAGCGUUGUCCGGAUUUAUUGGGCGUAAAGCGAGCGCAGGCGGUUUCUUAAGUCUGAUGUGAAAGCCCCCGGCUCAACCGGGGAGGGUCAUUGGAAACUGGGAGACUUGAGUGCAGAAGAGGAGAGUGGAAUUCCAUGUGUAGCGGUGAAAUGCGUAGAUAUAUGGAGGAACACCAGUGGCGAAGGCGGCUCUCUGGUCUGUAACUGACGCUGAGGCUCGAAAGCGUGGGGAGCAAACAGGAUUAGAUACCCUGGUAGUCCACGCCGUAAACGAUGAGUGCUAAGUGUUGGAGGGUUUCCGCCCUUCAGUGCUGCAGCUAACGCAUUAAGCACUCCGCCUGGGGAGUACGACCGCAAGGUUGAAACUCAAAGGAAUUGACGGGGGCCCGCACAAGCGGUGGAGCAUGUGGUUUAAUUCGAAGCAACGCGAAGAACCUUACCAGGUCUUGACAUCCUUUGACCACUCUAGAGAUAGAGCUUCCCCUUCGGGGGCAAAGUGACAGGUGGUGCAUGGUUGUCGUCAGCUCGUGUCGUGAGAUGUUGGGUUAAGUCCCGCAACGAGCGCAACCCUUAUUGUUAGUUGCCAUCAUUUAGUUGGGCACUCUAGCAAGACUGCCGGUGACAAACCGGAGGAAGGUGGGGAUGACGUCAAAUCAUCAUGCCCCUUAUGACCUGGGCUACACACGUGCUACAAUGGGAAGUACAACGAGUCGCAAAGUCGCGAGGCUAAGCUAAUCUCUUAAAGCUUCUCUCAGUUCGGAUUGUAGGCUGCAACUCGCCUACAUGAAGCCGGAAUCGCUAGUAAUCGCGGAUCAGCACGCCGCGGUGAAUACGUUCCCGGGCCUUGUACACACCGCCCGUCACACCACGAGAGUUUGUAACACCCGAAGUCGGUGAGGUAACCUUUUGGAGCCAGCCGCCUAAGGUGGGAUAGAUGAUUGGGGUGAAGUC
rnacentral:rRNA from 1 species